GACGAACGCUGGCGGCGUGCUUAACACAUGCAAGUCGAGCGGUAAGGCCCUUCGGGGGUACACGAGCGGCGAACGGGUGAGUAACACGUGGGUGACCUGCCCUCAGCGUCUGGGAUAAGCCUGGGGAACCGGGUCUAAUACCGGAUAUGACUCCAUGACGCAUGUUGUGGGGUGGAAAGCCUUGUGCGGCUGAGGAUGGGCCCGCGGCCUAUCAGCUUGUUGGUGGGGUGAUGGCCUACCAAGGCGACGACGGGUAGCCGGCCUGAGAGGGCGACCGGCCACACUGGGACUGAGACACGGCCCAGACUCCUACGGGAGGCAGCAGUGGGGAAUCUUGCGCAAUGGGCGAAAGCCUGACGCAGCGACGCCGCGUGAGGGAUGACGGCCU
rnacentral:rRNA from 1 species